GUCCACGCCGUAAACGAUGGGUGCUAGUUGUCGGGCGGCAUGCCGUUCGGUGACGCAGCAAACGCGUUAAGCACCCCGCCUGGGGACUACGGUCGCAAGACUAAAACUCAAAGGAAUUGACGGGGGCCCGCACAAGCGGUGGAGCAUGUGGUUUAAUUCGAGGCAACGCGAAGAACCUUACCAGCCCUUGACAUCCCGGUCGCGGAUAGCAGAGACGCUUUCCUUCAGUUCGGCUGGACCGGU
rnacentral:rRNA from 1 species